rnacentral:rRNA from 1 species
GAGUUUGAUCGUGGCUCAGGAUGAACGCUAGCGGCAGGCUUAACACAUGCAAGUCGAGGGGCAGCAUGGUCUAGCAAUAGACUGAUGGCGACCGGCAAACGGGUGCGGAACACGUACAGAAUCUGCCUUUAUCUGGGGCAUAGCCCGAAGAAAUUCGGAUUAAUACCCCAUAAUAUAUAUGAGUGGCAUCACUUGAAUAUUAAAACUCCGGUGGAUAAAGAUGACUGUGCGUCCCAUUAGCUAGUUGGUAGGGUAACGGCCUACCAAGGCGACGAUGGGUAGCUGGUGUGAGAGCACGACCAGCCACACGGGCACUGAGACACGGGCCCGACUCCUACGGGAGGCAGCAGUGAGGAAUAUUGGUCAAUGGACGCAAGUCUGAACCAGCCAUGCCGCGUGAAGGAUGAAGGCGUUCU